rnacentral:rRNA from 1 species
CUGGCGGCGUGCCUAAUACAUGCAAGUCGAACGGUCUUUCUAUGGAAGCUUGCUUCCACUGAGAAGAUAGUGGCGAACGGGUGAGUAGCACGUGGGUAACCUGCCCAUAAGAGGGGGAUAACAUCCGGAAACGGGUGCUAAUACCGCAUAGUUUUCUUGAUCGCAUGAUUGAGAAAGGAAAGACGGCCUUUGUGCUGUCGCUUAUGGAUGGACCCGCGGCGUAUUAGUUAGUUGGUGAGGUAACGGCUCACCAAGACGAUGAUACGUAGCCGACCUGAGAGGGUGAUCGGCCACAUUGGGACUGAGACACGGCCCAAACUCCUACGGGAGGCAGCAGUAGGGAAUCUUCCGCAAUGGACGAAAGUCUGACGGAGCAACGCCGCGUGAGUGAAGAAGGUUUUUCCGGAUCGUAAAACUCUGUUGUCAGAGAAGAACAAGUUGGAGAGUAACUGCUCCAGCCUUGACGGUAUCUGACCAGAAAGCCACGGCUAACUACGUGCCAGCAGCCGC